rnacentral:rRNA from 1 species
UACGAAGGGUGCAAGCGUUACUCGGAAUUACUGGGCGUAAAGCGUGCGUAGGUGGUGAGUUAAGUCUGAUGUGAAAUCCCCGGGCUCAACCUGGGAAUGGCAUUGGAUACUGGCUCGCUAGAGUGCGGUAGAGGGUGGUGGAAUUCCCGGUGUAGCAGUGAAAUGCGUAGAGAUCGGGAGGAACAUCUGUGGCGAAGGGGGCCACCUGGACCAACACUGACACUGAGGCACGAAAGCGUGGGGAGCAAACAGG